AUUUUAUUUAUCGAAAAUCCCAAGAAAAGUCCCCUCAAAACGAUUUUUGUAAAAUCUUUGGACGUCAGCGACGCAUGGGACACUUUGGCAGAAAUUAUACAAUUGGCUUUU